rnacentral:lncRNA from 1 species
UAUAAGAGACUGCGCAUCCUAACAAUAAUAACUGGCUCGAAUAACUGACCGUCCCUAGAGCAAGUGGCAAAGGACUUGGUGGUUGGUACCUGAGACCCAAGUUCGAAUCCUAGCUGAUUCACAUUUCCAGUUAAGUUUAUUUCUAAAAAAUGAAAUAAACGAAGCGAGUAGCGUGCUAUCUAUCUCUCAAAAAAAAAAAAUAAAUAAAUAACUGGCUCAAAUAUUUUGUAUUAUUACUAGUGGAUCUGGUCGUUACAUAUUAUUUCACUUCACG